GUCAUGUAUAUAUUUUGAUAGAUUUAAUCACAAUUUCAUUUUGAAAAUUCUAGUUUGUUUGUGUAUCUGAGGCAAAUAUACAUAUUGUACUAUGAUCAUUUCAGUGAAAAUUUAUCAAAGCCAAAAUUAAUGAUUUGUAUCCACUGACUACUUGGCUACUGAGCUAAUGAUACCCUCAGAAUUUAUCAGUCCACCAGUAGAGAAAUCUUUCAUACCAGUUGAGACGGAAGCGUUUUGAACAUGUGACGUACAGCAACAGUAACAGUAGAAUCAAGAUCGUAGUCGGAACGACUAUGUAUGCUACAAUUAAAUAAUCCGGUUGUCGCUCAGCACGACUCAUUGCCACAUCAAUCGAUUAAUAGUAUUAGCCUUAUAUCAGAUCGAAUUUACUGUUAGAAGUGUUGAUUUUUCUUCAUUUCAGUUUAAUUCGCAAUAAUUCAUCAUCAACAGAUAUAUAAUCUGAAAAAUAUAAUAAAGCAAUUAUUUAAAUGGCUAUCAAUAGGAUUAACAUAUGAUAAAAUGUUUAAAAUGUCAAUUAGUCCACCUAGUGAUAACUAGGUUCUCAUUAGAUUGUUUUAAAAUAAAAAUCUUUUAUGAAUUAUUUUGUGGCGUUCAAUUUUUUUUAUUUUCCCUUAUUUCAUUUAAUUGUAUGGUAUUGUUUGCGUUAAUGUAUUUUCUAAAAUAGUUUAAAACAAUAAUGGAAGGUAACAAUAGAUCUCGAUAAAUAAAUUAUUAUAAUAGACAAAACAAGAACAGUAAUACAAUUGUCCUUGUAAUUUUAUUUUUGGAAAAUAAAAGAACUCGAGAAAUUCUAGAGAUUGAUUACCAAAAUGAAACAAUCUUUGGGACAAAUAAGAAGUUUUAUUGAAGUAUCAGUUCUCUGACAGCUAAGAUUGACUGUCACUCAACAACAAUAAUGAAAUCAGGACAUCCUUUUAUAUAAUAUAUUUGUAUGAAUAGAUUUUGAAUUAGAUUCAGCUUCCUGAUUGAUGUUAGUAUUGUGUAACUUUUCCAAAAUAACUGAAGUUGUACUACCGUAUUCUGAUGCUGUCAUCAAAGACCGAAGACAAGACAAAGCUUUAUCAACAGUAUAAACAGAUGAUGUAUUGUCAAUAAAUUAAGUCUAACAGACAAGACGAUGUUUUAGCUUGUAUUUCCAUCUAUUGAAGAGAGCAUUUGAUCAUGCUAAUAUGUUUACUUUAAACAUUAAUUAUGAAGUUGAACAUACAAACUUCCAUCUAAUGUAUUGAAUUAUUAAGGAGUUAUGGCCCUCAAUUGAAUGAAAAAUGCAGCUAUAUGUAGUGUCCGUGCAAUAACAAGAGAACUGUUCAACCAGUUAUUUUGAAAUAUAUUAAAUGCUUUUUCGGAUGAUAAAAUGGAGAUCUAGUUAGAUUUUCGCAAUGCUG